GGAACUUGCUGGAAUCUUCCUUUAAUGAAGUCUUUACCUCUUCAUUGUUUUGGGAUAUGGUUGUUUUAAAAUUUGGUAAUUCUGAACCUGAAGAAGGUGAUAUCGAUUUCUUUUGUGAUUUUUGAAACCUUCGUCUAUUUUUUUUUACAUUUGCAGGUUUUUUAGGCAAAUCGGAAGGAUUUUUAGAUGUUUCCAUCCAGAAAGUGUAUAAGGCACUCGACAAGUUAGCAUCGUGGCAACUUCUUGGAAUAUAAGCACAAAAUUGGCGAGGUGACAAAACCUGUAUUGGAAACCAAAACAAAAAGGUAAAACACCUCUAUAUUUUGAAUAUACAAUAGUUUUUACUCAGGGAGAAUAAUUAUCUUCGAAGGACGACAAAUAAAAAUGACUUGUUGAAUGCGCAUUUUAAUUAAGGAUGGUAGAAUUAAUGUAAACAUGUUCAUUGCUUUGAACUCUCUUGACUUCUUUUAGACUCUUCCUAUCUUUAUUACAAAGAACGAAAGUUUGCUUCAAUAAUAAAUAAUUGUCUUAAAUUUAACU